rnacentral:rRNA from 1 species
UACGAAGGGGGCUAGCGUUGCUCGGAAUUACUGGGCGUAAAGCGCACGUAGGCGGCUUUCUAAGUCGGGGGUGAAAUCCUGGAGCUCAACUCCAGAACUGCCUUCGAUACUGGAGAGCUUGAGUACGGGAGAGGUGAGUGGAAUUCCCAGUGUAGAGGUGAAAUUCGUAGAUAUUGGGAAGAACACCGGUGGCGAAGGCGGCUCACUGGCCCGUAACUGACGCUCAUGCACGACAGCGUGGGGAUCAAACAGG